GAUGAACGCUGGCGGCGUGCCUAAUACAUGCAAGUCGAGCGAACGGACGAGAAGCUUGCUUCUCUGAUGUUAGCGGCGGACGGGUGAGUAACACGUGGAUAACCUACCUAUAAGACUGGGAUAACUUCGGGAAACCGGAGCUAAUACCGGAUAAUAUUUUGAACCGCAUGGUUCAAAAGUAAAAGACGGUCUUGCUGUCACUUAUAGAUGGAUCCGCGCUGCAUUAGCUAGUUGGUAAGGUAACGGCUUACCAAGGCAACGAUGCAUAGCCGACCGGAGAGAGUGAUCGGCCACACUGGAACUGAGACACGGUCCAGACUCCUACGGGAGGCAGCAGUAGGGAAUCUUCCGCAAUGGGCGAAAGCCUGACGGAGCAACGCCGCGUGAGUGAUGAAGGUCUUCGGAUCGUAAAACUCUGUUAUUAGGGAAGAACAGAUGUGUAAGUAACUGUGCACAUCUUGACGGUACCUAAUCAGAAAGCCACGGCUAACUACGUG
rnacentral:rRNA from 1 species